GACAGAGGGUGCGAACGUUGUUCGGAAUUACUGGGCGUAAAGCGCGUGUAGGCGGCAGCGCAAGUCGGGCGUGAAAUCCCACGGCUCAACCGUGGAAGUGCACUCGAAACUGCGCAGCUAGAGUCCUGGAGAGGAAGGUGGAAUGCUUGGUGUAGAGGUGAAAUUCGUAGAUAUCAAGCGGAACACCGGUGGCGAAGGCGACCUUCUGGACAGUGACUGACGCUGAGACGCGAAAGCGUGGGGGAGCAAACAGG
rnacentral:rRNA from 1 species